CCAUCUCCAGAACUUUUUACCUUCCCAAACUAAAACUGACCCACUAGACACUCCCUCUCCAUUGCCCCCUUCUCCCAGCCCUUGGCAACCACCAUUCUAUUUUCUGUCUCUAUGAAGCUGACUGCUCUAGAUUCCUCAUACAAGUGGAAUUAUGUAAUAUUAUUUUUUUGUGAUAGGCUUAUUUCACUUUGCAUAAUGACUUUACGUUUUAUCCAUAUUGCAGCACAUCAGAAUUUCCUUCCCUUUUAAGGCUAAAUAAUAGUCCAUUGUAUGUUUAUACCACAUUUUAUUUAUCUACUCAUCUAUCCAUGGACACUGGCAUUGCUCACACCUUUUGGCUGUUGUGAAUAAAGCUGCUAUGAACAUUGGUGUACAAAUGUCAGUUCAAGUCCCUACUUUCACUUCUUUUGGAUAGAUAGACAUCUAGAUGUGGAAUUGCAGAUCAUAUGGCAAUUCUAUAUUUCAUUUUUAAAGAAAUUGCCAUAUCAUUUUCCAUAGUAGCUACAUCAUUUUACAUUCCCACCAGCACUGCACAAGGGAAUCCAGUAUCUCCACAUCCUUGCCAACAUUUAUCUUCUGUUUUGCUUUUAAAUAAUAGCUAUCCUAAAAGCUGUGAAGUGGUAUCCUAUGGUUCCUUUAAAAAAAAUCAAAUAAAAUCUGACUGUGUGCUCUAAUUUCCAGGAAGUCAUAUGGGAAAUCCAGUGGCCGUCAUCCAGGGGCUCUUCCCACAUCCUAGAAUCACACCAGCACUUGGUACCCGAAAAUCAAAGGAAUAGCCUUCAACCCCAGUGCCACCCACCACAACGGCCUCUGACAUCUUGUCUACACUAAUAGUGGUUCUUUGCUUUCACGGAACAUAUAUAGACUUGGAAUGGGGAGGGUUCUGGCUCUAUAGGUGGUCUUGCUAACUUUUUGAGGAACUGCCACUGAGCAGGACCCCCCAAUUUUACAUCUUUAUCCCAACCUUGUCCCACUUAUUUUAGUUAUAAAAAAUUCUACCAGUUGGCUUUAAAAUACUCUGCAUAAUUGUUAUCUUCUGUUAAUUUUCAAGUUAUUAUUUAAAACAUAUAGAUAUAUAAAAAUUAGCAUAUUCCUUUGAACGCAGGUCUCGGUUUUAAUACAUUUUAACAUUUUGCCUUAUAAAAACUCUUGCACAAGGGUAAAAAGAGAAAUGUGCAAACAUAUUUAUUGCAACAAUGUUGCAGUAGUAAAAAUUUGGAGCAAUCUAAUGUCUAUCAAUGGGGAAAUGGACAAAUAAACUGAUAUAUUCAUAAAAUGGAAGAGUGUACAGUAGUAAAAAUCAAUUGAAUAUAUCUAUGUAUAUUGACAUGGAAAAAUAGUAAAAAUACAACACUGGGGAAUAAAGUUCUAAAUACAUACAAUAUGCUAUAAAAUUAAAAACACACAGAACAUUACCAUAAUUUAUGGAUACAUACAUAUGAUGUCAAAGUAGGAAAAUAUGGUGGUGUUACUACAAUUAAAAAGGCAUGUAAGCUGGGCUCGAUGGCUCACAUCUGUAAUCCUAGCACUUUGGGAGGUUGAGGCAAGAAGAUCACUUGACAGGAGGAGUUUGAGUCUUACUUGGGCAACAUAGUAAUAACUCAUCAGUACCAAAAAAAAAAAAAAAAAAAAAAAAAA
rnacentral:lncRNA from 1 species